UUGACCUGAAAUCCAUUGCAUAGCUCUCUGUUCACUUGAUCAGAUAACUAACCACACACUUGAGAUCUCUUUCAAUCAAUCAAUCUCUUCUUAUACAUCGCAGCUCUUUGCCACCACCACAUCCAGCUGGACCAGCCUCCGUGCCGCCGCCGUAUCAAAGUUUUUUUAGCUCUGUCGCAUUUCUUUCGGUUAUAUUGGUUGGGAAAUCUCUUCAAUGUCGGAGAAGGAGGAGGUUUUCGAUCUCCCUGAAGAUAUUGUAUUGAAGAUUCUGUGUCGGUUGCCAGUCAAAUCUUUGAUCCGGUUCAGUUGUGUGUCGAAAAGGUGGCGUUCUAUUAUCAUUUGUGACCCUCAAUUUGCCAAAUCUCACCUCCAGCUAGCAUCUCAGCAGAGAACCCUCCGUCAUAGAGUCCUUGUCUCCACCAUAUCCAUAGUUUACAAAUCCUCUCUAUAUAAUGAUUAUAAUUUUACCUUUAUAGGGAAUUCUCAAUUGCAAUGCUUGGAAGACUUAGCUGGAGAUAAUUUUCGGGUCACAAAUAGCACAUUUCCAUCAGAGCAGCAGAGUAAAACUUGUAAUGGCUUCUUGCAAUGGGCUGGUAAUUCUAGGUAGUUAUAAUGAAGACUUGUCUAUUUGGAACCCAACAACAGGAUUCUUCCACAAAAUACCUGAUCCAAAAUUUUCAUCAAUAACGAAAAGGACUUGUAGGGAUGCCUGGCCUCCAUAAGAUAUGGGUUUGGUUAUGUUUCAGCCACUGACGAUUACAAACUUGUUUUAGUAAUUCCUGAUGAUUACUCUGGUCCUGCAGUGGAUGGGUAUGUGGAUGUGGAUGUCAACAUCUUCAUCUUCUCGGUGAGAGCUAACUCUUGGAGCAGUAGUAAAGGCUCCCACUGGUCAUUCCCCAACAACGGUUGGAGGAGGCAGCACUGCGGGGUUCUUUCAAAUGAAGCAAUCCAUUAGGUUGUUAACUGCUAUGAAUAUGAUGUGGAUGGGAGUUUGGUUGUAGCAUUCUGUAUCUAUGCUUUUGAUUUGGCAAGUGAAGAGUUACGACUAAUGCCUGUUCCUGGUUGUAAGUUGUAACCAAGAUGAUGAGGAAAACUACCGUUUUGUUGGUAAGCAAAUGCAGACUGUGGUUCAUUUAGGAGGAUGCCUUUGCCUAUUGUCUCAGUCUCUGCAAUUAUUUGAGGAAAAUUGUGAUACUGGAUUAUGGAUAAUGAGAGAUUAUGGGGUGUCUGACUCGUGGAUGGAAGUCUUUGAAUUUAGGGUGGAUGAUUUACCACAUGUGUUUGCUUCACGCUUCAGUUGGCGUAGCGAUAUGAGUUUCAUUACGAAAAGUGGUGCAAUUGUGAUCAGACUGUUUGAGAAGGAGUUGGUCAGGAUUGAAUGCCAUAAAGUUGAGAAGCCGGUCUGCAGCAGCCCAUAUAUGCUUGAGGAUUGCCCUCAGCGUUCCUUUUUGUUGGAUACAAUUGUAUAUGAUGAAACAUUAGUUUCGGUACCUGAAUGAUUAUGAUACAUCAUGGGGCAUCCACAUGCUGGUUGGUUUUUAUGUUUUAACUCUACAUAAUGGAUUCUGCACGAUGUUUAAUCGAGUAUGAAGCCUUGUAUUUUGUCUCUCUAUUUUCUGUUAUUCUUUUGCGUACUAUGUUUGUGAUAAUGCUUCAGGAUUAUUUUUCCGGUAUGAGCAAUUUAAUUUUAGUAAAAUUUAGUGGCCUUCAUAUGUUCAAUGUGAUUUUUUCACAAUUAUUUUGUUGUGUUUUCUGCAGUUAUUCAGUGGCCAAAUCUCUGAAUCACAAAGCAUUGACAUUGCUGGUAGUGCUGCAUGAUUUUAACUCGGUAACAUAUUCUUCGGUUCGACUCUGAUAAAGUACUGCCGAAGCACAACGAGGAGGUACAUAUGGUUUAAGAACCAAGAGGAGGUACCUGUAUGAAAUUUAGAUGAGGUUCUACAUGUAUGUUUUUCAUGUCCGGAAUUUGGUUUCAUUGACCCAGGGAAGUGUGAAUUAUGAGCACAUGUCUCAAUAACUUAUAUGCUCGCAAGGUCUGGGUUGUAUUUUACAUGAAUUUAAUAGAACAAAAGGUCAAAUAGUUUGUAGAAGUUGAGUUCUUGCGCUUCAAA